rnacentral:rRNA from 1 species
UACGUAGGGUGCAAGCGUUGUCCGGAAUUAUUGGGCGUAAAGAGCUCGUAGGCGGUCUGUCGCGUCGGCUGUGAAAUCCCGAGGCUCAACCUCGGGCCUGCAGUCGAUACGGGCAAACUGGAGUGUUGCAGGGGAGAACGGAAUUCCUGGUGUAGCGGUGAAAUGCGCAGAUAUCAGGAGGAACACCGGUGGCGAAGGCGGUUCUCUGGGCAUGAUCUGACGCUGAGGAGCGAAAGUGUGGGGAGCGAACAGG